AAAUGGCCUUGGGGUUUCUAAGCCCAUAUAUAGGCCUGUGAUUGUGGAUAAACCAACCAUAAAGCCACCAGAAAAAGUUCCAGUUCACCUGUUUAAUAUUAUUUCAUCAAAUAAACCCAAUAUGUUCCUUUCAGCAAAUCCUGUAUUUGUAAAGGGUGAAGAAGGAAAACUGGGAACAAAGAGCAGAGUGGAAAAAUCUGAAAGCAAAUGUCAUCAUUCUGCCCCUAAAGAUGGGGUGGUGCCAUUCACCAAGCAGGGAUAUGCCAAGGAAAUGGAAGUCAUUACAAAGGAGCAUAAGGACUUUGAUAAAUAAGUGGAUAGAAAAGAUG